rnacentral:rRNA from 1 species
GUGCCAGCCGCCGCGGUAAUUCCAGCUCCAAUAGCGUAUAUUAGAGUUGUUGUGGUUAAAAAGCUCGUAGUUGAACCUUGGGCCUGGCUGGCCGGUCCGCCUCACCGCGUGCACUGGUCCGGCCGGGCCUUUCCCUCUGUGGAACCCCAUACCCUUCACUGGGCGUGGCGGGGAAACAGGACAUUUACUUUGAAAAAAUUAGAGUGCUCCAGGCAGGCCUAUGCUCGAAUACAUUAGCAUGGAAUAAUAAAAUAGGACGCGCGGUUCUAUUUUGUUGGUUUAUAGGACCGCCGUAAUGAUUAAUAGGGACAGUCGGGGGCAUCAGUAUUCAACUGUCAGAGGUGAAAUUCUUGGAUCAGUUGAAGACUAACUACUGCGAAAGCAUUUGCCAAGGAUGUUUUCAUUAAUCAGGAACGAAAGUUAGGGGAUCGAAGACGAUCAGAUACCGUCGUAGUCUUAACCAUAAACUAUGCCGACUAGGGAUCGGACGGUGUUAUUCAUGACCCGUUCGGCACCUUACGAGAAAUCAAAGUGCUUGGGCUCCACGGGGAGAAUAGUCGCAAGGCUGAAACUUAAAGAAAUUGACGGAAGGGCACCACCAGGGGUGGAGCCUGCGGCUUAAUUUGACUCAACACGGGGAAACUCACCAGGUCCAGACACAAUAAGGAUUGACAGAUUGAGAGCUCUUUUCUUGAUUUUGUGGGUGGUGGUUGCAUGGACGUUCUUAGUUGGUGGGGGUGACUUUGUCUGCUUAAUUGCGAU